CUGGAAUAUUUCUAAAAGCGGCGUAAAACCAAACUCAGUCAGUCAGUCAUAAAGGGCGACAAAAUGGGACCGGGUGGUCAAACUGGCCGACGUCUUUGAUUCAUAUCAUCGUAUCCUAUUUGCCUAGAUCGACGCUCAUGAUGUCGACCACAGGGCUG